rnacentral:rRNA from 1 species
UACGGAGGGUGCAAGCGUUAUCCGGAUUUACUGGGCUUAAAGGGUGCGUAGGCGGGUAGGAAAGUCAGUGGUGAAAUCUUCGGGCUUAACCCGGAAACUGCCAUUGAUACUAUUUAUCUUGAAUACUUUGGAGGUAAGCGGAAUAUGUCAUGUAGCGGUGAAAUGCUUAGAUAUGACAUAGAACACCGAUAGCGAAGGCAGCUUACUACAGGAUGAUUGACGCUGAGGCACGAAAGCGUGGGGAGCAAACAGG